rnacentral:rRNA from 1 species
AUUGAACGCUGGCGGCAGGCCUAACACAUGCAAGUCGAGCGGAAACGACAUUAUUGAUUCUUCGGAUGAUUUAAUGGGCGUCGAGCGGCGGACGGGUGAGUAAUGCCUAGGAAAUUGCCUUGAUGUGGGGGAUAACCAUUGGAAACGAUGGCUAAUACCGCAUACGCCCUACGGGGGAAAGAGGGGGACGCUUCGGCACCUUUCGCGAUUGGAUAAGCCUAAGUGAGAUUAGCUAGUUGGUGGGGUAAAGGCUCACCAAGGCGACGAUCUCUAGCUGGUUUGAGAGGAUGAUCAGCCACACUGGAACUGAGACACGGUCCAG